rnacentral:rRNA from 1 species
UCGGGAAUUUUGGGCAAUGGGGGAAACCCUGACCCAGCAACGCCGCGUGAAGGAUGAAGUAUUUCGGUAUGUAAACUUCGAAAGAAUAGGAAGAAUAAAUGACGGUACUAUUUAUAAGGUCCGGCUAACUACGUGCCAGCAGCCGCGGUAAUACGUAGGGACCAAGCGUUGUUCGGAUUUACUGGGCGUAAAGGGCGCGUAGGCGGCAUGACAGGUCACUUGUGAAAUCUCUGGGCUUAACCCAGAACGGCCAAGUGAUACUGUCGCGCUAGAGUGCAGAAGGGGCAAUCGGAAUUCUUGGUGUAGCGGUGAAAUGCGUAGAUAUCAAGAGGAACACCUGAGGUGAAGACGGGUUGCUGGGCUGACACUGACGCUGAGGCGCGAAAGCCAGGGGAGCAAACGGGAUUAGAUACCCAAGUAGUCCCUGAGCGGGCUGG